AACGAACGCUGGCGGCGUGCCUAACACAUGCAAGUCGAACGAGAAAGGGGCUUCGGCUCCGAGUAAAGUGGCGCACGGGUGAGUAACACGUGGGUAACCUGCCUCUAAGAUUGGGAUAACUCGUCGAAAGAUGAGCUAAUACCGAAUAAGACCACAGUUUCUGCGGGGACAGAGGUCAAAGGUAGCCUCUGCUUGCAAGCUAUCACUUAGAGAUGGGCCUGCGCACCAUUAGCUAGUUGGUAGGGUAACGGCCUACCAAGGCAAAGAUGGUUAGCUGGACUGAGAGGAUGAUCAGCAGCACUGGAAUUGAGACACGGCCCAGACUCCUACGGGAGGCAGCAGUGGGGAAUAUUGCGCAAUGGGCGAAAGCCUGACGCAGCGACGCCGCGUGAGUGAGGAAGGCCUUCGGGUCGUAAAGCUCUGUCGGGAGGAACGAAUGCUCCUGAGGUUAACAGCCUCAGGAGGUGACGGUACCUUCAAAGGAAGCACCGGCUAACUCUGUGCCAGCCGCCGCAGUAAUAC
rnacentral:rRNA from 1 species